AACGAACGCUGGCGGCAGGCCUAACACAUGCAAGUCGAGCGAGACCUUCGGGUCUAGCGGCGGACGGGUUAGUAACGCGUGGGAACGUGCCCUUCUCUGCGGAAUAGCCACUGGAAACGGUGAGUAAUACCGCAUACGCCCUUCGGGGGAAAGAUUUAUCGGGGAAGGAUCGGCCCGCGUUAGAUUAGAUAGUUGGUGGGUAACGGCCUACCAAGUCUACGAUCUAUAGCUGGUUUUAGAGGAUGAUCAGCAACACUGGGACUGAGACACGGCCCAGACUCCUACGGGAGGCAGCAGUGGGGAAUCUUAGACAAUGGGCGCAAGCCUGAUCUAGCCAUGCCGCGUGUGUGAUGAAGGUCUUAGGAUCGUAAAGCACUUUCGCCAGGGAUGAUAAUGACAGUACCUGGUAAAGAAACCCCGGCUAACUCCGUG
rnacentral:rRNA from 1 species